UACGUAGGGGGCAAGCGUUGUCCGGAAUCAUUGGGCGUAAAGCGCGCGUAGGCGGCCCGGUAAGUCCGCUGUGAAAGUCCAGGGCUCAACCCUGGAAAGCCGGUGGAUACUGCCGGGCUAGAGUCCGGAAGAGGCGAGUGGAAUUCCUGGUGUAGCGGUGGAAUGCGCAGAUAUCAGGAGGAACACCAAUAGCGAAGGCAGCUCGCUGGGACGGUACUGACGCUGAGGUGCGAAAGCUAGGGUAGCAAACGGG
rnacentral:rRNA from 1 species